rnacentral:rRNA from 1 species
UUCCAGACUCCUACGGGAGGCAGCAGUCGGGAAUAUUGCGCAAUGGAGGAAACUCUGACGCAGUGACGCCGCGUAUAGGAAGAAGGUUUUCGGAUUGUAAACUAUUGUCGUUAGGGAAGAUAAAAGACAGUACCUAAGGAGGAAGCUCCGGCUAACUACGUGCCAGCAGCCGCGGUAAUACGUAGGGAGCAAGCGUUAUCCGGAUUUAUUGGGUUUAAAGGGUGCGCAGGCGGAGGUGCAAGUCAGUGGUCAAAUUGCGGGGCUCAACCCCGUACUGCCGUUGAAACUGCAUCCCUUGAGUGCGCGAGAAGUAUGCGGAAUGCGUGGUGUAGCGGUGAAAUGCAUAGAUAUCACGCAGAACUCCGAUUGCGAAGGCAGCAUACCGGCGCGCAACUGACGCUCAUGCACGAAAGCGUGGGUAUCGAACAGGAUUAGAUACCCUGGUAGUG